rnacentral:rRNA from 1 species
CUGGCUCAGGAUGAACGCUGGCGGUGUGCCUAAUACAUGCAAGUCGAUCGGGCGUAGCAAUACGUCAGAGGCGUACGGGUGAGUAACACGUAGGUAACCUACCUUUAAGACUGGGAUACCCAGACGAAAGUUUGGCUAAUACCGGAUAACAACAUUUGAGACAUCUCUUUGUUUGAAAGGCGCUGCAAGGCGCCACUUUUAGAUGGACCUGCGUCGCAUUAGCUAGUUGGUGAGAUAAAAGCCCACCAAGGCUGGGAUGCGUAGCCGAUCUGAGAGGAUGACCGGCCACAAUGGGACUGAGACACGGCCCAUACUCCUACGGGAGGCAGCAGUAGGGAGUUUUCGGCAAUGGGGGAAACCCUGACCGAGCAACACCGCGUGAGUGAUGAAAGGUCUUCGGAUCGUAAAGCUCUGUUACGAGGGACGAAUGAUCGCUUUAGGAAAUGAGAGCGGUUUGACGGUACCUCGCCAGAAAGCGACGGCUAACUACGUGCCAGCAGCAGC